GGUUCAAUGGCUCAAUGGUAAAGCAUUUGAUAAAUAGUUUCUUGAAGGUCCAUUCAUAUCAUCAGAAGGCUGGGGUUCGAAUCCAUACUGAGAGU